rnacentral:piRNA from 1 species
UCUAUCCUGAGAACCCUCCCUAUGCCACACCU